UACGGAGGGUGCAAGCGUUAUCCGGAUUCACUGGGUUUAAAGGGUGCGUAGGAGGGCAGGUAAGUCAGUGGUGAAAUCUCCAAGCUUAACUUGGAAACUGCCGUUGAUACUAUCUGUCUUGAAUAUUGUGGAGGUGAGCGGAAUAUGUCAUGUAGCGGUGAAAUGCUUAGAUACGACAUAGAACACCAAUUGCGAAGGCAGCUCACUACUCAAUCAUUGACUCUGAGGCACGAAAGCGUGGGGAUCAAACAGG
rnacentral:rRNA from 1 species